AACGAACGCUGGCGGCAGGCCUAACACAUGCAAGUCGAGCGAGGACUUCGGUCCUAGCGGCGGACGGGUAAGUAACGCGUGGGAACGUGCCCUUUGCUUCGGAAUAGCCCUGGGAAACUGGGAGUAAUACCGGAUGAGCCCUUUGGGGGAAAGAUUUAUCGGCGAAGGAUCGGCCCGCGUUGGAUUAGGUAGUUGGUGGGGUAAUGGCCUACCAAGCCGACGAUCCAUAGCUGGUUUGAGAGGAUGAUCAGCCACACUGGGACUGAGACACGGCCCAGACUCCUACGGGAGGCAGCAGUGGGGAAUCUUAGACAAUGGGGGAGACCCUGAUCGAGCCAUGCCGCGUGAGCGAUGAAGGCCUUAGGGUUGUAAAGCUCUUUCAGCUGGGAAGAUAAUGACGGUACCAGCAGAAGAAGCCCCGGCUAACUCCGUG
rnacentral:rRNA from 1 species